rnacentral:lncRNA from 1 species
ACUAUCAAUCCUAGAUAAGUCAUCCACAUUAUAUUUUAAUUUUUUUUAAAUCCAUCACAUAGAUUAUUCGGGUCUAGAUUUUGUUAAAUUGAAAUACAUUGAUACAUUAACUCCUACAAAUUUAGAGGGAUCAAUCCCAUCUUGACUCACGCACCUGACAAGUAUUUGACUGCACUCAGAAAUCUUUUAUCACUGAAUUAGAAAUUCAAUUAGUCCGACACCAAAGUAUAGUGAGUUGCUUGAAAGUCACUGUACUAAUC